AAACCAUGUUGUGGGCAUGAACCGACGAGAUCCUCGAACCUCUCCCAAUAUUAGAAGAAUGUUUCAUCUUCCUUUUGGGCGAAGUUCAUGAUUGACUUCCUGAUAGU